rnacentral:misc_RNA from 1 species
GAUGAAGAACGCAGCGAAAUGCGAUAAGUAGUGUGAAUUGCAGAAUUCAGUGAAUCAUCGAAUCUUUGAACGCACAUUUCGCCCCUUGGUAUUCCAUGGGGCAUGCCUGUUCGAGCGUCAUUUGUACCUUCAAGCUCUGCUUGGUGUUGGGUGUUUGUCUCGCCUCUGCGUGUAGACUCGCCUCAAAACAAUUGGCAGCCGGCGUAUUGAUUUCGGAGCGCAGUACAUCUCGCGCUUUGCACUCAUAACGACGACGUCCAAAAGUACAUUUUUACACUCUUGACCUCGGAUCAGGUAGGGAUACCCGCUGAACUUAAGCAUAUCAAUAAGCGGAGGA